CUAAUGCUAAAUGAUGAGUUAGUGGG
rnacentral:piRNA from 1 species